rnacentral:rRNA from 1 species
CGGCAGGCUUAAUACAUGCAAGUCGAGGGGCAGCGCAGUGUAGCAAUACAUGGGCGGCGACCGGCAAACGGGUGCGGAACACGUACACAACCUUCCUACAAGUGGGGAAUAGCCCAGAGAAAUUUGGAUUAAUACCCCCGUAACAUAGCGAUGUGGCAUCACAUUGCUAUUAUAGCUUCGGCGCUUGUUGAUGGGUGUGCGGCUGAUUAGAUAGUUGGCGGGGUAACGGCCCACCAAGUCUACGAUCAGUAGCUGAUGUGAGAGCAUGAUCCCCCACACUGGUACUGAGACACGGACCAGACUCCUACGGGAGGCAGCAGUGAGGAAUAUUGGACAAUGGGCGCAAGCCUGAUCCAGCCAUGCCGCGUGCAGGAAGAAGCAUCUAUGGUGUGUAAACUGCUUUUGUACGGGAAGAAACACUCCUUCGUGAAGGAGCUUGACGGUACCGUAAGAAUAAGGAUCGGCUAACUCCGUG